rnacentral:rRNA from 1 species
GGGAAUCUACCGUGCCCUGCGGAAUAGCUCCGGGAAACUGGAAUUAGUACCGCAUACGCCCUAUGGGGGAAAGAUUUAUCGGGGUAUGAUGAGCCCGCGUUGGAUUAGCUAGUUGGUGGGGUAAAGGCCUACCAAGGCGACGAUCCAUAGCUGGUCUGAGAGGAUGAUCAGCCACAUUGGGACUGAGACACGGCCCAAACUCCUACGGGAGGCAGCAGUGGGGAAUAUUGGACAAUGGGCGCAAGCCUGAUCCAGCCAUGCCGCGUGUGUGAUGAAGGCCUUAGGGUUGUAAAGCACUUUCACCGGAGAAGAUAAUGACGGUAUCCGGAGAAGAAGCCCCGGCUAACUUCGUGCCAGCAGCCGCGGUAAUACGAAGGGGGCUAGCGUUGUUCGGAAUUACUGGGCGUAAAGCGCACGUAGGCGGAUAUUUAAGUCAGGGGUGAAAUCCCAGAGCUCAACUCUGGAACUGCCUUUGAUACUGGGUAUCUUGAGUAUGGAAGAGGUAAGUGGAAUUGCGAGU